CCUACGGGAGGCAGCAGUGGGGAAUAUUGCACAAUGGGGGGAACCCUGAUGCAGCGACGCCGCGUGGGUGAAGAAGUCAUUCGUGACGUAAAGCCCUAUCAGCAGGGAAGAAAAUGACGGUACCUGACUAAGAAGCCCCGGCUAACUACGUGCCAGCAGCCGCGGUAAUACGUAGGUGGCAAGCGUUAUCCGGAUUUAUUGGGUGUAAAGGGCGUGUAGGCGGGAAAGCAAGUCAGAUGUGAAAACUCAGGGCUCAACCCUGAGCCUGCAUUUGAAACUGUUUUUCUUGAGUGCUGGAGAGGCAA
rnacentral:rRNA from 1 species